rnacentral:rRNA from 1 species
UAAUACGUAGGUGGCAAGCGUUGUCCGGAAUUAUUGGGCGUAAAGCGCGCGCAGGCGGCUUCUUAAGUCUGAUGUGAAAUCUUGCGGCUCAACCGCAAGCGGUCAUUGGAAACUGGGAGGCUUGAGUGCAGAAGAGGAGAGUGGAAUUCCACGUGUAGCGGUGAAAUGCGUAGAGAUGUGGAGGAACACCAGUGGCGAAGGCGGCUCUCUGGUCUGUAACUGACGCUGAGGCGCGAAAGCGUGGGGAGCAAACAGGAUUAGAUACCCUGGUAGUCCACGCCGUAAACGAUGAGUGCUAAGUGUUAGAGGGUUUCCUCCCUUUAGUGCUGCAGCUAACGCAUUAAGCACUCCGCCUGGGGAGUACGGCCGCAAGGCUGAA